UACGAAGGGGGCUAGCGUUGCUCGGAAUUACUGGGCGUAAAGCGCACGUAGGCGGCUUUCUAAGUCGGAGGUGAAAUCCUGGAGCUCAACUCCAGAACUGCCUUCGAUACUGGAGAGCUUGAGUCCGGGAGAGGUGAGUGGAACUGCGAGUGUAGAGGUGAAAUUCGUAGAUAUUCGCAAGAACACCAGUGGCGAAGGCGGCUUACUGGUCCGGUUCUGACGCUGAGGCGCGAAAGCGUGGGGAGCAAACAGG
rnacentral:rRNA from 1 species